CGGCAAAAGCUCAAAUUUGAAAUCUGGCACCUUCGGUGUCCGAGUUGCAAUUUGAAGAUUGUAACCUUGGGGUUGGCUCUUGUCUAUGUUUCUUGGAACAGGACGUCACAGAGGGUGAGAAUCCCGUGCGAUGAGAUGCCCAAUCCUAUGUAAGGUGCUUUCGAAGAGUCGAGUUGUUUGGGAAUGCAGCUCUAAGUGGGUGGUAAAUUCCAUCUAAAGCUAAAUAUUGGCGAGAGACCGAUAGCGAACAAGUACAGUGAUGGAAAGAUGAAAAGAACUUUGAAAAGAGAGUGAAAAAGUACGUGAAAUUGUUGAAAGGGAAGGGUUUGAGAUCAGACUCGAUAUUUUGUGAGCCUUGCCUUCGUGGCGGGGUGACCCGCAGCUUAUCGGGCCAGCAUCGGUUUGGGCGGUAGGAUAAUGGCGUAGGAAUGUGACUUUGCUUCGGUGAAGUGUUAUAGCCUGCGUUGAUGCUGCCUGCCUAGACCGAGGACUGCGAUUUUAUCAAGGAUGCUGGCAUAAUGAUCCCAAACCGCCCGUCU
rnacentral:rRNA from 1 species